GACGAACGCUGGCGGCGUGCUUAACACAUGCAAGUCGAACGGAAAGGCUCUGCUUAUGUGGUCUGUUCGAGACGCGUAAGUGAGAGUAACGCGAGCGUCACCCGCCUCUGACUUUGGUCCAACUUCAGGAAACUGGUGCCAAUACCGGACCGCUGCUCCCGCUGCUUGGUGGGGGUUGGAAUGUCUGGUCGGUUGGGGAUGGCCUCGCGGCUUAUCAGCUUGUUGGUGGGGUAGUGGCUUACCAAGGCGUUGACGGGUAGCCGGCCUGAGAGGGUGACCGGCCACAUUGGGACUGAGAUACGGCCCAGACUCCUACGGGAGGCAGCAGUGGGGAAUAUUGCGCAAUGGGCGGAAGCCUGAUGCAGCAACGCCGCGUGGGGGAUGACGGCCUUCGGGUUGUAAACCGCUUUCGGCUGGGACGAAGCGUGAGUGACGGUAAUUGGAGAAGAAGCACCGGCUAACUACGUG
rnacentral:rRNA from 1 species